GUUUGAUCAUGGCUCAGGACGAACGCUGGCGGCGUGCCUAACACAUGCAAGUUGAGCGACGAACCAGGGCUUGCCCUGGGGCAAAGCAGCGAACGGGUGAGUAACACGUGGGUAACCUGCCCCGAUGACCGGGACAACCCGAGGAAACUCGGGCUAAUACCGGAUGUGCUCCACACACAUCAGCGUGUGGAGUAAAGGAAGCUUCGGCCUCCGCUUCGGGAGGGGCCCGCGGCCCAUUAGCUAGUUGGUGAGGUAACGGCUCACCAAGGCAACGAUGGGUAGCUGGUCUGAGAGGAUGAUCAGCCACAUUGGGACUGAGACACGGCCCAGACUCCUACGGGAGGCAGCAGUGGGGAAUAUUGCGCAAUGGGCGAAAGCCUGACGCAGCAACGCCGCGUGAGCGAUGAAGGUCUUCGGAUCGUAAAGCUCUUUCGGCCGGGACGAAAACCCAUUACUUCAUAAGUGGUGGCUUGACGGUACCGGAAGAAGAAGCACCGGCUAACUCUGUGCCAGCAGCCGCGGUAAU
rnacentral:rRNA from 1 species